rnacentral:piRNA from 1 species
UGCCUGUAGUUAAACCACAUCUCUCCUGAGC